rnacentral:rRNA from 1 species
UGGGCAACCUACCCUAUAGUUUGGGAUAACUCCGGGAAACCGGGGCUAAUACCGAAUAAUCUCUUUUGCUUCAUGGUGAAAGACUGAAAGACGGUUUCGGCUGUCGCUAUAGGAUGGGCCCGCGGCGCAUUAGCUAGUUGGUGAGGUAACGGCUCACCAAGGCGACGAUGCGUAGCCGACCUGAGAGGGUGAUCGGCCACACUGGGACUGAGACACGGCCCAGACUCCUACGGGAGGCAGCAGUAGGGAAUCUUCCACAAUGGGCGAAAGCCUGAUGGAGCAACGCCGCGUGAGUGAAGAAGGUUUUCGGAUCGUAAAACUCUGUUGUAAGGGAAGAACAAGUACAGUAGUAACUGGCUGUACCUUGACGGUACCUUAUUAGAAAGCCACGGCUAACUACGUGCCAGCAGCCGCGGUAAUACGUAGGUGGCAAGCGUUGUCCGGAAUUAUUGGGCGUAAAGCGCGCGCAGGCGGUCCUUUAAGUCUGAUGUGAAAGCCCACGGCUCAACCGUGGAGGGUCAUUGGAAACUGGGGGACUUGAGUGCAGAAGAGGAAAGUGGAAUUCCAAGUGUAGCGGUGAAAUGCGUAGAGAUUUGGAGGAACACCAGUGGCGAAGGCGACUUUCUGGUCUGUAACUGACGCUGAGGCGCGAAAGCGUGGGGAGCAAACAGGAUUAGAUACCC